rnacentral:rRNA from 1 species
CCGCUACACAUGCAGUCGAACGAGUAGCAUACUUAGUGGCAGACGGGUGAGUAACAUGUGGGUAUCUGCCCUUUGGCCUGGAAUAACACGAGGAAACUUGUGCUAAUACCGGAUAAGUCUUUACGGAGAAAGCUUUAUGCACCAUUGGAUGAGCCCGCACUUGAUUAGUUAGUUGGUAGGGUAAUGGCCUACCAAGACUGUGAUCAAUAGCUGAUUUGAGAGGAUGAUCAGCCACAUUGGGACUGAGACACGGCCCAAACUCCUACGGGAGGCAGCAGUGGGGAAUCUUGCACAAUGGAGGAAACUCUGAUGCAGCGAUGCCGCGUGAGUGAAGAAGGCCCUUGGGUUGUAAAGCUCUUUCGUCGGGGAAGAAAAUGACUGUACCCGAAUAAGAAGGUCCGGCUAACUUCGUGCCAGCAGCCGCGGUAAUACGAAGGGACCUAGCGUAGUUCGGAAUUACUGGGCUUAAAGAGUUCGUAGGUGGUUGAAAAAGUUGGUGGUGAAAUCCCAGAGCUUAACUCUGGAACUGGCAUCAAAACUUUUCAGCUAGAGUAUGAUAGA